UUUUCUUAUUGUAUUUAUUAUCAUCAACAUUUGAUCUAUUUUAAUUAGCAUUCUACAGGGUGUAUAUAAAAACGACGUUUGGCAAUUAAACUACUGUAAAAUUUCAAAACCCAAUCACUGUGCUAACCUCACUAGUGCAUUACAUUUUCAAUGGAGGAAAAUCUUUUGUGCUUGAAUCAACGUAGCUAACAAUGUUCCAUGCACCUGUGGGCUUGACGUAGUGACAGACAUUGAAAUUAUACAAAGGUCUUCAAUGGUAAAUUAAGGCUAACCAACUAAUUUUGCACACAUCAAAGGAAUGAACUGGAUAGAAAAAUAUUAUUAGAAUCGCGGGAAAGAUCGCCAAAAAGUCAUAUGACGUAUUGAUCAAAAUUGGUCACGUGUCAAGUCGUAUAAACAUUCGUCAGCAAGAGCUGGGUGACGCGGGAUAUGUAAAUUGAUCAAAUCGUGCUGAGAUAGCACAACAUUUAAUAGCAUAGUAGGUUUCGUGUGAUGUAUUUAAUAUACGAUUGUUUUCAUUUCAAGUUAAAUAUUAUGUUUUAACUUGUUAAAACCCAGUAUGAUGUACUAUUAUAUAGUAGCAAAUACUGACAAAUUAUAUCUGUAUAUAACACAUACAAUAAAGAGUCCUUGAAGUUGAUGCAUCAGGAAA